UUGGAGGGCAAGUCUGGUGCCAGCAGCCGCGGUAAUUCCAGCUCCAAUAGCGUAUAUUAAAGUUGUUGCAGUUAAAAAGCUCGUAGUUGAAUUUCGGGGUCAGUAGGUCGGUCGUGCCACUGGUAUGAACUGGUUUUACUGAUUCCUCCCUCUUGAAGAACUGUAAUGCCAUUAAUUUGGUGUUGCAGGGAAUCAGGACUGUUACUUUGAAAAAAUUAGAGUGUUUAAAGCAGGCUUUAGCUUGAAUACAUUAGCAUGGAAUAAUGAAAUAGGACGUUUGAUCCUAUUUUGUUGGUUUCUAGGAUUGACGUAAUGAUUAAUAGGGAUAGUUGGGGGCAUUAGUAUUCAAUUGUCAGAGGUGAAAUUCUUGGAUUUAUUGAAGACUAACUACUGCGAAAGCAUUUGCCAAGGAUGUUUUCAUUAAUCAAGAACGAAAGUUAGGGGAUCGAAGACGAUCAGAUACCGUCGUAGUCUUAACCAUAAACUAUGCCGACUAGGGAUCGGAUGAUGUUAAUUUUUUAAUGACUCAUUCGGCGCCUUACGGGAAAC
rnacentral:rRNA from 3 species